UAUGCUGGUACCUUAGGCGCGGAGGCAACACGCUAAUCCAUCCCGAACUUAGCGGUGAAACUCUGUUGCGGUGACAAUACUGUAGGAGAAGUCCUGUGGAAAGAUAGCUCGGCGCCAGCUAU
rnacentral:rRNA from 1 species